rnacentral:rRNA from 1 species
GGGGGGGGGGGGGGGGGGGGGUGGUACAGGCAGGGCGGGCGAGCAGACGAGGAGCUUGCUCCUCUGACGUUAGCGGCGGACGGGGGAGUAACACGUGGAUAACCUACCUAUAAGACUGGGAUAACUUCGGGAAACCGGAGCUAAUACCGGAUAAUAUAUUGAACCGCAUGGUUCAAUAGUGAAAGACGGUUUUGCUGUCACUUAUAGAUGGAUCCGCGCCGCAUUAGCUAGUUGGUAAGGUAACGGCUUACCAAGGCGACGAUGCGUAGCCGACCUGAGAGGGUGAUCGGCCACACUGGAACUGAGACACGGUCCAGACUCCUACGGGAGGCAGCAGUAGGGAAUCUUCCGCAAUGGGCGAAAGCCUGACGGAGCAACGCCGCGUGAGUGAUGAAGGUCUUCGGAUCGUAAAACUCUGUUAUUAGGGAAGAACAAAUGUGUAAGUAACUAUGCACGUCUUGACGGUACCUAAUCAGAAAGCCACGGCUAACUACGUG